CAGCAAUCACCACCCUAAGAAUUUGGUCCUCCCUAGGACUUAGGGUUUAUGCUAUACUUCUGUCUCUAAACCAUCUUAUUUCUCUUCCUUGGUGUCCAAUCACUGCCCUCUCUUUUAACCCCGGGCAUGUGACAGGUCUGCCAAUUCACUCUGUCCCUAGGGCUGUUGAACAGCUUAAUGAGUGUUUAACAGAAGAAUCAUAAGAGGCGAUUGCUAGGUUGGAAAAAAUCACCCUGGGUCCCAGGAGGCUAUGUGCAGUUUACAGACAGGAAACCGGCAACAGGGAAAAAAAAGAUUAGUGUGAAGAAUAAGGGGGCUAGGCUCCCCUCCACCUCAGCAGCAGUGCCUCCAAGAAACAAAAAGGAAAGCAUCUGGCUAGAAUGUGGACCGAGACUGCUGAGAUGGGAAAACUGCACACACAACAAAAGCACAAAGGUUUGCAAAAGGCACAGUUCGCUCCCCAUCCCCCAUCACCAAGAGCUCAACAGGAACGCUAGCCGUUUGCACUCAGCACAUCUGUUUUCAGUUACCUGUGCCUGAACCACAAACUCAACAGAGAAAUGGAGAGAUUUCGAGCUGACUCCACGGUUUAAGGUCUGUUGGGGCAGAUUAUGCGGAGGCAGAGACGGAGUGUGGAAGCCUUCAGCCACUGCUGUGCCAUGUUCACGGUCUUGACAGGCCACACCGAUGACAUUUCAGUGGGCCAGGAACUGUUCUUUCAUUGCCUUGACUGCUGAAAAAGUUAAGAGCUGCCAAGGAGUAUCACUAUCGCUUGAUAAACACAGCUACCCAUGUUAGUCAACCACUAAUUAACAGGUUAACUUACAAUUAACAGUUGCAUGUUACCAAUCCAUUCCCAACAUAUUUAUCCUUUCUGCUUCCAUUAUUCUAUCUUGCUACUAUCUUCCUAAACCUCUCCAGCUAAGAUUAUGUUUUUCCUUAUUGAAAAAGUCUUUGACUACUAGAAUCUUCUCUACAUUAAUUCCUAAGCCCUGGUUCUGUUCACAACAUGGGCUCUCCAGGCUCAUAAAAAUACUUCCAGGAAUAACAUUCCUUUCCUUUCAAUGAAUUGGGGAUACAGCAUAUUGUCCACAGAUAGAUGCGGCCAAGUGGGAAAGACAGUCAUUAACGGUGUUUUCCCUUCCAUAAAACCCACCACAUUUGGUGCUGGAGUUAAGUAAAUACAAUCUUGAUAUCACUGAGCUACUUUUUGGAAUAGCACAAUAUUGGAAAUCUCUCCAUACCAAGUUCCACACCCCUCCCUUUUCAGACAUUGCCCUGGCCUACAUAAGCCUGGUACAGUUGCCAAGCUUUACCUUCCCCGGACCCUUACUGCCCCUUUAUUGCUGUAAACACAGCUGCAAGAGAGAAAUGUAAUUUUAAAUAUCCACUUUGGUAAUAGGGAUCCCAAUGACUUCAUUGCUACUUUAAGCGUUUUUUGAGAAAUUGUUACCAAUUAUUAAAAUAUAUAUUUUCUUGACAAGUAUUGUCAUCCAAGUACUUAAUUUGUUGGGCUUUCAAUAGUUGAGUUUCCGUUAUGAACACAAUUCUUUUGUAGGGAAACAUUAAAUAUUUACUAUAAUUAAAAAGGCACAUCAUGCUAGUCAUUGUUUCACUAUUAGUUCUUAUUUGAAUUGCUUUAUAUGGAAACACAAAGAUUAAUACUGAAAUGUCAAUACAGACUAUAUCUAGGGGCUCUGCCCAGAGAUGACAUGAAAUAUACAGGACUCAAUAAAUAUUUAUUGAGUGGAAAAAUGAAUUGUAUGCCAUUCUGUUUGUUCCUAAGGGAAUUCAUCAUAAUGGGCUUUUUAAAUUGAUCAGGUCUUACUGUAAGGAAAUUUAAACAGUAUAGUUUGGUGUCACCUGGGCUGUGUCAGAGAAGGGUAACCAAGUUCUGAGACAGGGGUCGCCAAACUCUCCCACCAGUCUCCACGUGGGAGAAACGAACCUGGGUGAGGGGGAAUCUGAGUGACACUUAGAAACUUACACAAAAGAUACUCUUCCAUAGAAGUAUUCCAAUGAUGUUUCCCUCUCUUAAAAAAAAAAAAAAAAAAAAAAACUACCAA